rnacentral:rRNA from 1 species
UACCAGCACCCCGAGUGGUCGGGACGUUUAUUGGGCCUAAAGCAUCCGUAGCCGGUUCUGCAAGUCCCCCGUUAAAUCCAGCUGCUCAACAGAUGGGCCGCGGAGGAUACUCCAGAGCUAGGAGGCAGGAGAGGCAAGCGGUACUCAGUGGGUAGGGGUAAAAUCCGUUGAUCCAUUGAAGACCACCAGUGGCGAAGGCGGCUUGCCAGAAUGCGCUCGACGGUGAGGGAUGAAAGCUGGGGGAGCAAACCGG